rnacentral:tRNA from 1 species
GCCCCUUUGGUGGAAUUGGUAGACACACGGCACUCAAAAUGCCGCGCGAAAGCAUCCCGGUUCGAGUCCGGGAGGGGGCACCA